GUGUUCCGGGAUCUCUGAAACCUUGCAUUAUGAUGAGCUGCUUUAGUGGUGAUAAUAUCUUAAACUAGUAUUCAAUUUACUUUCCCUUCCUUCUAAUUCUUGUUGCCCUGGGAGUCUCCCCCAUUGAGGCUAAGGAUUCCAUUACUUCAGGGGGAGGACCGAAUAUGGUCUAGGACAAAGAAGACGUUGUUCAGCUUUUGACUUUCAAAACAGGCCCUCGAAGCAUGUUUCAGAGACCAGAGUUAGCCCAGGCCUUCACUCAAAAGAGGCAGGCUUUGUUAGAGGACAAAUGAUCGUGGAUUCCAAGGAGGCAGAUCUCAGAAGGCCCGGGAAGGCCCGGCAUAUAUUGUACAGUGAGCCAGGCAGGAAGGAGGCUGCGGGAAGGAAGAAAUGCCUCCCUGGGAUGGAGCAUGGAGCCCGUAGAGAUUAGAGGAGACUAGAGAUAAAUGAAUGGGUGGCUGACAUUCCCCCGCUCCAGGAGGGUGCAGGGGAAUCUGCCUCCGUCUGGAACCCUGGGAGGAAGCCACCCGUGGUGUGUGCCCUGCAGUGGGGCACGUUUAGGCGGGAACAAGCCCUGACAUGCUGUCUGCACCAGUUCCCCAAAGCCUACAUGUGGCACAGGAGGGAUGCCAAGGGCCUGCAGGCCCCUGCGGGCACCUGUGGAGGUGCAGAGGGAGCUGGGUGGGAGAGGCUUGGAGGCAGAGCGAAGGCGGCACCGAGUGAAGCAUGGACGCUAGUUGGGUUCCAUCUACCAGUCACAGCAGCAGAACCAGACCAACACCCAAAGACAAAGGGAAGAAACAUCCAACGGAGGCCAGGGAGGGCACGGAGGGCAGUGCCCGGACUAGGUCGGCCCCUAUCCUGUGGUGGUCUGUCGUCUGACUCUGGAGCAGGGGUUGGGGGGGAGAAGGGCAAGGAAGGGAAAGGAGCACAGCCCGGAGACACAGGUUGAGGUAGAUUUAAUUUGACUAAUUGCCUUGAAGCAACUAGAAUUUUUAAAUCUUUCUGAAAGUGGCAAGAUUGUCUUUUCUGCCACAAUCAGAAAUGCAGUGGUCCUGAUCAAAUUGAAUUUUAACUGUGAGGAAAUGGAGUCACAUUCUUUAAAAAUUUAUUUAUGUACGUAAGUCAGCUCUAUGUCCAUGGGGUGGGACUCCGGACCCUGAGAUCCAGAGUCCCACGCUCCACCGACCGAGCCCACCAGGUGUCCCAGAAAUAACAUUUUUUUUUUGCCUGUAGCUGAGCAGUAGGUGUAAAUCCCAAUCCUGCCGCACCACACGUUGAUGCUGAUGAUGACGACGAUGGCAGCACUUUCGCUUGCUUGUAUUCCUACAACACACUUGUCCCUUUGAGUCCGCCAUGCCUUAGUGUAACGGUAUCAGGUUCCUUUCGGGCAAGAAGUGGGAAGAUGUGCCCUCUCAAGGAGCAGAGUUGUGUACCAGAUAUCCCAAAGCAAAGCGGGGUUUUCGGCUUCCCCUUGUUGAGCUUGUGGCAGUUCUUCCGAGUGCCCUGCAAGGAAGGACUUCAGUUGCCAUGGAGCCUCAGGUCAGUGGAAGGUACUAGAAUUUCAGGCCUUUCUUUAAUGAGUUUACUGUCAUGCUGGAGACUAGACAAACAAUUUUUACUGGGUACGAUCCUUCAGUUCCAUAGUUUAAAGGUUACAGUCUGUGAGGGGAGAAGCUCUUCAUUUUUAUUCAAGUCCUCAUGUGCUAAAUAAAGAAUGAGUUUAUGAAGGGAUUCAUUUUCAAGUAUAAUUCAUAAGUAGUUACCAGAACACUAAAUGAGAGAGGGGGAAACAAACCAGUUAGCUCUUUUUAAUUAUGUUUCAUCUCUCUUUGACGUUCAUACAAGGAUGAUGCUGCAUUUAAGAUGUUUUAAAACCUGCUGUUUCUUGAAAUGCCUAGUAAUUUGGGAAGGGAAUUCUUUAGUCUUUUUUUUUUUUUUUUUUGGGUCUUGCUUUAAAAAGUGUGGGUUUGGCGGUAUGGUAAGGAUACUGCUUAUGUAUUUUUCUACUAGAGAAUUACUGUGACACUUUGAGCAAAUCUUCUCAAAACAUAAACGCAUCUCAUAUUUCCCUUCAUCUGUCAGUGGGAGCCAAGAGAGCUAGAGAUGUGAGAUCAUAACAUUAUGGAGAGGAGUCACUGAAGUAAUGUUAUAGAAUUUUUAAAAAGUUGAUUUAUUAAGUGACAUCAUUUCAAUAAUAUUUUGGACCUUGGAAACAGUUCUAUUCAAAAUCUCAAAAACAAAAUGUCAAAAAAAUUAAAAACAUGUCCAUAUACA
rnacentral:lncRNA from 1 species